UGCGAACGGCUCAUUAAAUCNGUUAUCGUUUAUUUGAUAGUACCUUACUACUUGGAUAACCGUGGUAAUUCUAGAGCUAAUACAUGCUAAAAGUCCCAACCUACGGAAGGGACGUAUUUAUUARAUAAAAAACCAAUGCCUUCGGGCUUCUUGGUGAUUCAUGAUAACUUUACGAAUCGUAUGGCCUUGUGCCGGCGAUGGUUCAUUCAAAUUUCUGCCCUAUCAACUUUCSAUGGUAGGAUAGUGGCCUACCAUGGUUUCAACGGGUAACGGGGAAUUAGGGUUCGAUUCCGGAGAGGGAGCCUGAGAAACGGCUACCACAUCCAAGGAAGGCAGCAGGCGCGCAAAUUACCCAAUCCCGACACGGGGAGGUAGUGACAAUAAAUACUGAUACAGGGCCCAUUUGGGUCUUGUAAUUGGAAUGAGUACAAUUUAAAGCCUUUAACGAGGAACAAUUGGAGGGCAAGUCUGGUGCCAGCAGCCGCGGUAAUUCCAGCUCCAAUAGCGUAUAUUAAAGUUGUUGCAGUUAAAAAGCUCGUAGUUGAACCUUGGGUCUGGGUGACCGGUCUGCCUCACCGCAUGUACUGGAAACCCGGAUCUUUCCUUCUGGAGAACCGCAUGCCCUUCACUGGGUGUGUUGGGGAACCAGGACUUUUACUUUGAAAAAAUUAGAGUGUUCAAAGCAGGCAUUUGCUCGAAUACAUUAGCAUGGAAUAAUAGAAUAGGACGUGCGGUUCUAUUUUGUUGGUUUCUAAGACCGCCGUAAUGAUUAAUAGGGAUAGUCGGGGGCAUCCGUAUUCGAUUGUCAGAGGUGAAAUUCUUGGAUUUUUCGAAGACGAAYUANUGCGAAAGCAUUUSCCAAGGAUGUUUUCAUUAAUCAGGAACGAAAGUUGAGGGAUCGAAGACGAUCAGAUACCGUCGUAGUCUCAACCAUAAACUAUGCCGAMUAGGGAUCGGGCGAUGUUUAAAUYUGACUCGCUCG
rnacentral:rRNA from 1 species